rnacentral:rRNA from 1 species
GAUGAACGCUAGCGGCAGGCUUAAUACAUGCAAGUCGAGGGGCAGCGCGGGUAGCAAUACCUGGCGGCGACUGGCAAACGGGUGCGGAACACGUACGCAACCUUCCCAAAACUGGUGAAUAGCCCUCCGAAAGGAGGAUUAAUACACCGUACCAUAACGAAGAGGCAUCUCUUUGUUAUUAUAGCCGCAAGGCGGUUUUGGAUGGGCGUGCGCCUGAUUAGGUAGUUGGCGGGGUAACGGCCCACCAAGCCUGCGAUCAGUAACUGGUGUGAGAGCACGACCAGUCACACGGGCACUGAGACACGGGCCCGACUCCUACGGGAGGCAGCAGUAAGGAAUAUUGGUCAAUGGACGCAAGUACUGAACCAAGCCAUGCCGCGUGAAGGAUGACGGCCCU